GAUGAACGCUGGCGGCGUGCCUAAUACAUGCAAGUCGAGCGAACAGACGAGGAGCUUGCCCCUCUGACGUUAGCGGCGGACGGGUGAGUAACACGUGGAUAACCUACCUAUAAGACUGGGAUAACUUCGGGAAACCGGAGCUAAUACCGGAUAAUAUAUUGAACCGCAUGGUUCAAUAGUGAAAGACGGUUUUGCUGUCACUUAUAGAUGGAUCCGCGCCGCAUUAGCUAGUUGGUAAGGUAACGGCUUACCAAGGCAACGAUGCGUAGCCGACCUGAGAGGGUGAUCGGCCACACUGGAACUGGAACACGGUCAAGACGACUGCGGGAGGCCGCAGUAGGGAAUCUUCCGCAGUAGGCGAAAGCAUGACGGAGCAACGCCGCGUGAGAGAUGAAGGUCUUCGGAUCGUAAAACUCUGUUAUUAGGGAUGAACAAAUGUGUAAGUAACUAUGCACGUCUUGACGGUACCUAAUCAGAAAGCCACGGCUAACUACGUG
rnacentral:rRNA from 1 species